GUGAGCUGCAACAGUGAUUGGCCCGAAAAGAUCGUCAUGGGACAAUUGCUCCCACUGCGCUGCAUGCGAUCAUGACAUCCCAGACAAACGCACCCAACUUUGUGGGCGACAGCAUUAGCAACCGGAGGAGGAAGAAGCACGACGACAUGCAUGAGACAGUCGCGGGUCAUGUGAGAAAAGACGAUCGGCAAUAAGGUGUUGCGCAAAAAGUCCGGAAGAUAACCUUCGUAACAAGAGAGUCAGAAUGUAAAGUUACCUUCAUGCCGGGAGACAAGCAUUAACACUCGGGCAGCUCUCCAGUUGUCGAGUGGAAGGACUGACUAAACGCUGGGAGAAUCCGACAAAGACGUCUGCACACAGAUAGAAGCACCAAAAUGAGAAAAAAAGAAGAAAAU
rnacentral:lncRNA from 1 species